rnacentral:rRNA from 1 species
GCAAGUCGAGCGGAAACGAGAAGUAGCUUGCUACUUCGGCGUCGAGCGGCGGACGGGUGAGUAACGCGUAGGAAUCUGCCUAGUAGAGGGGGACAACAUGUGGAAACGCAUGCUAAUACCGCAUACGCCCUGAGGGGGAAAGGAGGGGAUCACUUGUGACCUUCCGCUAUUAGAUGAGCCUGCGUGAGAUUAGCUAGUUGGUAGGGUAAAGGCCUACCAAGGCGACGAUCUCUAACUGGUCUGAGAGGAUGACC